UAUAAUUUAAUAUAAUAGAAUAUAAUUUAAUAUAAAUAAAUAAAAAGAUAUUUUUGUUAAUUAAUAUUUUACAGUUGUAA
rnacentral:tRNA from 1 species